rnacentral:rRNA from 1 species
AAGUCAGUUGUGAAAGCCUUCCGCUUAACGGAAGAACGGCAUCUGAUACUACAGGGCUUGAGUACGGGAGGGGAGAGUGGAACUUCUGGUGGAGCGGUGAAACGCGUAGAUAUCAGAAGGAACGCCGGCGGCGAAAGCGACUCUCUGGUCCGAAACUGACGCUGAGUGUGCGAAAGCUAGGGGAGCAAACGGGAUUAGAUACCCCGGUAGUCCUAGCCGUAAACGAU